rnacentral:rRNA from 1 species
ACAGCAGUCGCCACGGUAAUACGUAGGUGGCAAGCGUUGUCCGGAAUUAUUGGGCGUAAAGCGCGCGCAGGCGGAUAGGUCAGUCUGUCUUAAAAGUUCGGGGCUUAACCCCGUGAUGGGAUGGAAACUGCCAAUCUAGAGUAUCGGAGAGGAAAGUGGAAUUCCUAGUGUAGCGGUGAAAUGCGUAGAUAUUAGGAAGAACACCAGUGGCGAAGGCGACUUUCUGGACGAAAACUGACGCUGAGGCGCGAAAGCCAGGGGAGCGAACGGGAUUAGAUACCCGCGUAGUCCCUGUCUCUUAUACA